GUUAACUUUAAAGCAGGACUUUCACUGUCAGAUAUGCAAAGAAAACAACAUGAAGUGGAGACAACCACCAACCAGGGCACACAGUUGGCUUUAGAUGAAGUUUCUUAUCAGUCAGGAUGUAGAUAUGGAUGCACUUCCUCGUAGCAACUUCAGACCUACAGAACUAUAAGUGGAGGAAACAACUAUCACUAUUGACCUUGAAACCAUUGACCUAAUUCAAUAUGGGAAGAUGCCACAUGUCACACAAAGCCGCAUCCCACACAAAUCCCUGUAGCAUAGAUAUCUAUGUCACGCCUAAAAAGGAAAUUUCACCAGAGGCAUAAAGGAUUACCAGGAUUGCAUGGAAGAUUCAGCACAGUAGUCCACACAGGACCAACACAUCGAAAACUGGUACUCAGUCGGCCUUAGAGAAAUUGUGUACUUUGCUUAAAAAUAUCCUGAAGUGAUUUUGGUUGCUCAUAAUGGGAGACAAUUUGAUUUUCAAGUUCUUGUCUCAGCUGUACAGGAUGAUUUUCAGCUGUGUUUCAUCUAAAGUGUAUUGUUUUACCAGUGUUAAGGAAACUGUUCAGUUAACAGUCACAUUAAAUAUAAGAUCUUGCUAUGACACUGUUUGGUAUCCGGUACAAUGCCUAUAGCUGACAGACAGACAAAUUUAUUAUGAAAAACUGGAAAGGCCUGCUAAGGGUUUACAUUUUAUGUUUAGCGGAAUUUCAAGCAAUGACUUGUACUCGUGAUAAAUUUGGUACCAAAAUGUUCAUUAUCUUAAGUAGAAAAUGACAAUUGUAAUUGGAAAUUUGAAUUGUGUUAUUUAACUCAAACUUAGGAAAGUUAAUAUGUUCAAAAUUGUUAAUAAUGUUUCAUUUGUUAAAAUGCUAUAUUAUAGCUUUAAGCCAUAAUGUCCUCUUUUUACACUCUGCCUAAAGAAACACUUCAUUUGUUCUUGUUUGCUAUGUAGCCAUUUCCUUGAUUAAAAAUACACUUGUGAAUCUUUGGACUUCUUGAACAAAUUAAUACUUUGUGACUAUUUUUUUAACUAUUUUAUUCUUGCUACAUGUACAUUUAAUAAAUAAUUGCAAAACUUUUACAUCUUACUUGGACAUAACUUUAAAAGGCCCUACCGCUUCGUUAACAAUAAGCAGUUCCCUGUAACUAAAAAAAACUCUGAAGUUCGCUUCUUAUUAACUACAUGAAGUGGGUACAGUAUAGGACUGAUGACAGUUUUAUUUCACAAAUUUCAGAACAAUACAUUAUGGUGGAUGUUUUUUUUGUAUUUAUUUACAUUUUUCUAUUAGAUGAUAGUUAAUUUAAAUUCAUAAUUGAACACUUUCGAAAGUGAAACUUUUUACUAUAAAGCAAUUCACAACUAAUAUUUUCUUUUAAGUAAAAUAAAACAAUAAAAGAAUAAGCAAUCCUUUAAAUAUGAAGUUAAGUAGUAUCUUUUAAGCUCAGCAAAAGUAUGAGCGAACAGAGAUGUCCCUUAUUUUCAACAUCUUGUACAGAAGUUUUGAUUUUAUCUGUGUAGAUUUUUGACAUACUGUACAAUUUAUUCAGGUGUAUGCAAGACAAUAUUUAUAAGGAAGUCUUGUGUUUUAAGCUACCUAAUAAGUCCUAAUUAUUAAUAUUAGAGAAAACUGUUGAUUUUUCAAAGGGCUUCCUGAUACUUAUGUAUAAGCUUAAGUACAAACAUAUAAGGGUUUACUCAUAUUUAUUAUUUUUAGUUCUUAAUAUCUGUGCAAGUUUUUAUUUCUAUUUCUGUCUGUUAUAAUUGGAUCUUAUGCCUGAAUAAAAUUGAAUUGAAUUGUGAUGCAAAUAGUGUAUUGUCUUUUUGUUGUGUCUAUGAUAAUUUCUUUAA